UGUGCUAGCAAAAGCCGGCACUUCCCCACUCUCUAACCUUCCCAUGGCGAGGACUGCCGCUCUAUCAGCAGAACCUUUCUCUCCGCGUGAGGAAGGGCUUUUUUCCCCUCCUCUCCUUUUUCUCCCUUCCUCUUAAUCAGAAGCACUGAAUGAAAGCCAAUCAGAGAGAGCUCGCCCCCGUUUUCUUCGGUUCCCUGCCGUCCAGAGUUGAAAGUAAUGCUGAGAGAAAGCUUGAGUUAGAUUGGAGUAGCAUCAGUGAUAGAAAAUAACAGCCGAAAACAAACAAAAAGGAGACACAGUGACAAUUUCUCCAGGGUUAUUUUGGCUGGAACCAACUUCCGUUAUCCAGAAGCUGCCAAAAAAAAAAAAAAAAAGCUUUUGGAAACAUGUCCAAAACAUUGAUGAGAUGUUGGAAACCAGUUGAAACACAGUAAAAUUCAACUCAAUAAAAUAGGACUGCUUUCUCUUCAUCCACGUUGGAAAUUUUCAAGAAGUGAACUAUGACAAUAUACCAAUUUUUGCUACUAUUUCUACUCUGGGUAUGCCUGCCACAUUUCUGUUCUCCAGAGAUAAUGUUCAGAAGGACUCCUGUACCCCAGCAAAGAAUUUUAGGUGCACGUGUACCUAGGAGUGAUGGCAAAAUUCUGCAUCGUCAAAAACGUGGGUGGAUGUGGAAUCAAUUUUUCUUACUGGAGGAAUACACAGGAUCUGAUUACCAAUACGUGGGCAAGCUUCAUUCAGACCAAGAUAAAGGAGACGGAUCACUCAAAUAUAUUUUAUCUGGAGAUGGAGCAGGUACUCUUUUUAUUAUUGAUGAAAAAACAGGUGACAUUCAUGCCACAAGAAGAAUUGAUAGGGAAGAAAAAGCCUUUUAUACUCUGCGUGCACAAGCUAUUAACAGAAGAACUUUGAGACCAGUAGAACCAGAAUCUGAGUUUGUGAUCAAAAUCCAUGAUAUCAAUGACAAUGAGCCAACGUUCCCAGAAGAAAUUUAUACAGCAAGUGUUCCGGAAAUGUCUGUUGUAGGUACUUCCGUGGUGCAAGUCACAGCUACAGAUGCGGAUGAUCCUUCCUAUGGGAACAGCGCCAGAGUUAUUUACAGCAUACUUCAAGGGCAGCCAUAUUUCUCUGUGGAGCCUGAAACAGGUAUCAUCAGGACUGCUUUACCAAACAUGAACAGAGAAAACAGGGAGCAGUACCAAGUGGUAAUCCAGGCCAAAGAUAUGGGCGGCCAGAUGGGAGGCUUAUCAGGGACCACAACGGUGAACAUCACACUGACAGAUGUAAAUGACAACCCACCUCGCUUCCCCCAGAACACCAUCCACCUUCGAGUUCUUGAGUCCUCGCCAGUUGGCACAGCCAUUGGAAGUGUAAAAGCAACUGAUGCAGACACUGGGAAAAAUGCAGAAGUAGAAUACCGAAUUAUUGAUGGUGACGGGACCGACAUGUUUGACAUCAUAACUGAGAAGGACACACAGGAAGGCGUUAUAACGGUGAAAAAGCCACUUGACUACGAGAGCCGAAGACUUUACACACUGAAGGUUGAAGCAGAAAAUACCCAUGUGGACCCACGUUUUUAUUACCUGGGACCAUUUAAAGAUACAACGAUUGUGAAAAUCUCCGUAGAAGAUGUGGAUGAACCUCCUGUUUUUAGCAGAUCCUCCUACCUGUUUGAAGUUCAUGAGGAUAUCGAAGUGGGCACGAUCAUUGGUACUGUAAUGGCAAGGGACCCAGAUUCCGCUUCUAGCCCCAUUAGAUUUUCCUUGGAUCGCCAUACUGACCUUGACAGGAUCUUUAACAUACAUUCUGGAAAUGGAUCCCUUUAUACUUCAAAGCCACUUGACCGUGAACUAUCUCAAUGGCACAAUCUAACUGUUAUAGCUGCUGAAAUCAACAAUCCCAAAGAGAUGACUCGUGUGGCUGUUUUUGUCAGAAUUUUGGAUGUUAAUGACAAUGCCCCACAAUUUGCAGUGUUCUAUGACACUUUUGUAUGUGAAAACGCCAGACCAGGGCAGCUAAUACAGACCAUAAGCGCAGUAGACAAAGACGACCCUUUAGGUGGACAGAAAUUUUUCUUCAGUUUAGCUGCUGUCAAUCCCAACUUCACAGUACAGGAUAAUGAAGAUAAUACUGCCAGAAUUUUAACCAGAAAAAAUGGAUUCAAUAGACAUGAAAUAAGUACCUAUCUCUUGCCCGUGGUGAUAUCAGACAAUGAUUACCCAAUUCAGAGCAGCACAGGCACGCUGACCAUCCGAGUGUGUGCUUGCGACAGCCAAGGCAACAUGCAGUCCUGCAGCGCUGAAGCUCUGCUCCUCCCUGCGGGUCUCAGCACAGGGGCCCUCAUCGCCAUUCUCCUCUGCAUCAUUAUUCUGUUGGUUAUAGUAGUACUGUUUGCAGCUCUGAAAAGACAGCGAAAAAAGGAGCCUCUGAUCUUGUCUAAAGAGGACAUCAGAGACAACAUCGUGAGCUAUAACGACGAGGGUGGCGGAGAGGAGGACACCCAGGCCUUUGAUAUCGGCACCCUGAGGAAUCCUGCAGCGAUCGAGGAGAAGAAGCUUCGGCGAGACAUCAUCCCGGAGACGUUAUUCAUACCUCGCAGGACUCCCACGGCCCCGGAUAACACAGACGUCCGCGAUUUCAUUAACGAAAGGCUGAAAGAGCAUGAUCUCGACCCCACCGCGCCCCCCUACGACUCCCUGGCAACCUACGCCUACGAAGGGAACGAUUCCAUCGCGGAGUCUCUGAGCUCCUUAGAAUCGGGGACCACUGACGGAGACCAAAACUACGAUUACCUCCGAGAGUGGGGCCCCCGGUUUAACAAGCUGGCCGAAAUGUACGGUGGCGGGGACAGUGACAAAGACUCUUAACCUAGGCUAUCAAUUCCGUUCCAACAAGAGGAGGAAGAAGAAGUUUCUUCAUGGACUGUCUUGGUACAAAAGUCCACUGAAUGCAGGUCACUACACAAUCCUUAGCCUGCAAUUGUCUGUCGUGAUUUGCAAGCAUUCCAAAUAUGGUGCUUAAUGGAAGGUAGAUCUGGAAAAAGAAGAAGGAAGACACUGACAUACUUUGCUUUACAUAUUGCUGGUAGCUAAUUAUCCAUAUGAGCUCCAGAACUGUCCCAUUCUUACUCUGCCAUAUGGCAUCGGCUGUGCUUGCUUGUCUUAGUGAGCCAACAGUAGGGUAAGAUGCCUCUUGUCAACUUGCAAAGAAACAACAAUACAGGUAAUAUCAUUUCUCCAGCCGGUUCUGUCAUAAUGUGUGCCCUCUUGUCUUCUCCCACACAAGGGCAGUGGCUGCUCCAGUGUUGGGUUCUAUUCCUUCCAUUCCUCCCACAUAGGCUUCUCAUAUAUUCUCACAAAGUUAUCAACAUUCAGUGGUAUUAUUAAGGCCAGUUCCAUCAAUCUCACAUUCUCUCAUGGGAGCUGAUA